UAAAGGCAUCUCUUUGGAGGUCCCUGCCUUCUGGACGCCUUCUGAAGAUUUCCUGUGUAGGCCCAUCCCCGGGGACUGAAAACCUGGUGUAGACAACUCAUAAAUAAAGCGAGUGAGACAUGAGCAAGAAAAAGCAUAGCAUACUUCUGGGAAUCACUCCAGGAAAAUAAAUGUGCAAGAUGGCACAUCACCCUACACAAAGCUGGCAGAGCAUUUGGAAGCUCCAUCUCCCUGAGUAAAUAAGAGCACUACAACUACUGCCUACGCUGUGACAGAACAAAAAGUCCUUUGGCCCAGAUGUGAGCAUGACUAUAUUCUAUACCUCCUCUCCCCAAGCCCUAUCCACUCCAGAUACAAUAUGACAGCAUGGACUGCGAGCAGACUGCUUAUGAGCAUUUCUGUGCUAGUGUGCUAAACUACCACGCUCACUCAGGCGCUCAGAUGCCAUCAAGCUCUAAAGAAAAGUCUUUGUGCCUACAUCUGCGGUCAGUCCUGUAUGCUUGCACUAUGAAGUAUGAAUAAGUGUGAUUUUUCAGCAGGGUUCAGGUCUACUUUCAGUGGAGUGCAGAUGAAGGUCUUCAGUGAUUAUGUAAAUGUACUAAUUAUGUAAAUCUAGGAGACUUAUGACAAUUAGAAUUAAGGCUGAGAAUGUAAACACGGACCUUGUUAUCUUGCACUUGGAGAAAGUGUUAUUUUCUGAACAAUGUAACACAUUAAAACCUCAAUUCCAACACAAAUCUUUACUAACAAAUCAGGUUGAUGGGUGGAAAGAUAAAGGUUAAGCAUAAUUUGUUAUUUACAGUUUUCAAAUUCAUAUACAAAUCCCUGUGUUCUGAGUGCUAAACUCUUACGCCCCAUACAUAUGUUGUUUGUUUUACCAGAUUACGUGUGAAUGAAAAGAACAGCUGUGACCUCCCUCGUACUUUGAAAGGGCUCUGACAAACACAAACAAAUUCAACUUAACAAAAAAAAAGUCUUGAGUUCAUUCAUUUUGCAUGUGUAAGGACCUGCAGAAUUAAUUAUUACAUUCAAGACUAAUCGUGAAAGAGCAGCUAAGGUAAAAUUGCCUACCUGUUUAUAUUCAGUUUGGUAGUCAUCUCCUAGCAAUUCGGUUAUAUCACUGUGGUUUCCCAACCUAUGACCCAACUCAUCAUAAACAGAAACAACGUUUUUAAAAGCCCCUAGCUAAACUGAAAUUGUGAGUUCAGGUAAUACCGUUUCCUCUUUCUACAACAUUCAGUUACUUAAAGCAUGUUACUAAAAUUAUUUUUCUCUUUGCACACAUAAUUUUAACAAUUCUUUGUUGGAUUGGGUGUGAUUUUUUUUUUUUUUUAGCUUAAUCAUUGAGUUGAUAUAGGUACACAGCUUACUUCCAUGAAGUCAUUAAUAUUACUACAUCUGCACUACGGGGCUAUGUUGCUUUUAUUAUACCAAAUGAUUUGUUCCAAAGUGUAACAGCUAAAGGUACACAAAAGCUGGGAGUGCACAGC
ensembl:lncRNA